rnacentral:rRNA from 1 species
GGAAGGUCCCCCACAUUGGAACUGAGACACGGUCCAAACUCCUACGGGAGGCAGCAGUGAGGAAUAUUGGUCAAUGGGCGAGAGCCUGAACCAGCCAAGUAGCGUGCAGGAUGACGGCCCUAUGGGUUGUAAACUGCUUUUAUAAGGGAAUAAAGUGAGAGUCGUGACUCUUUUUGCAUGUACCUUAUGAAUAAGGACCGGCUAAUUCCGUGCCAGCAGCCGCGGUAAUACGGAAGGUCCGGGCGUUAUCCGGAUUUAUUGGGUUUAAAGGGAGCGUAGGCCGGAGAUUAAGCGUGUUGUGAAAUGUAGACGCUCAACGUCUGCACUGCAGCGCGAACUGGUUUCCUUGAGUACGCACAAAGUGGGCGGAAUUCGUGGUGUAGCGGUGAAAUGCUUAGAUAUCACGAAGAACUCCGAUUGCGAAGGCAGCUCACUGGAGCGCAACUGACGCUGAAGCUCGAAAGUGCGGGUAUCGAACAGGAUUAGAUACCCUGGUAGUCCGCACGGUAAACGAUGGAUGCCCGCUGUUGGUCUGAAUAGGUCAGCGGCCAAGCGAAAGCAUUAAGCAUCCCACCUGGGGAGUACGCCGGCAACGGUGAAACUCAAAGGAAUUGACGGGGGCCCGCACAAGCGGAGGAACAUGUGGUUUAAUUCGAUGAUACGCGAGGAACCUUACCCGGGCUUGAAUUGCAGAGGAAGGAUUUGGAGACAAUGACGCCCUUCGGGGCCUCUGUGAAGGUGCUGCAUGGUUGUCGUCAGCUCGUGCCGUGAGGUGUCGGCUUAAGUGCCAUAACGAGCGCAACCCCUCUCCUUAGUUGCCAUCAGGUCAAGCUGGGCACUCUGGGGACACUGCCACCGUAAGGUGUGAGGAAGGUGGGGAUGACGUCAAAUCAGCACGGCCCUUACGUCCGGGGCUACACACGUGUUACAAUGGCAGGUACAGAGAGACGGUCCCUUGCAAAAUGGAUCAAAUCCUUAAAGCCUGUCUCAGUUCGGACUGGGGUCUGCAACCCGACCCCACGAAGCUGGAUUCGCUAGUAAUCGCGCAUCAGCCAUGGCGCGGUGAAUACGUUCCCGGGCCUUGUACACACCGCCCGUCAAGCCAUGAAAGCCGGGGGCGCCUAAAGUCCGUGACCGUAAGGAGCGGCCUAGGGCGAAACUGGUAAUUGGGGCUAAGUCGUAACAAGGUAGCCGUACCGGAAGGUGCGGCUG